CGCACACCAGUCCGCCAUCUUUCUUACCUUUUUGAUUGUUGACUUCAUGACUUGUAAAUUUUGUAAUUAGUUUUUGCCGACGUCCACCGUGCCGUUUUUUAAGUAAUUUUUGGUAUUUUACAAAUUGUGUUACUUUAGUGGACACGUGGAGACAUGGACGCUGACUGUUGGAAGAAUUCGUCAAUUCAGACUGGCGCAAAGAGCUAUCAGGGCGCGAUGCCAGGAAUUUCAUUGCGAGACAGAAUUCGAAAUGAGGAUAUUCGCCAACGCAAUAAAGUUACCGACAUUGCAAAAAGGAUUAACUCAAGUGGGAAUGGACCGGCUAUAUUUUUCGCAGAGAUGACGAUCAAUGGGGUCGCCUAGUAUUGCUGUGGAGACCUAGCCUGGGUGGCCGAGGUGGCGGGAAACCACGAGCAGAUGGUCGGAUGACAUCAAAAAAGGGCAGGGCCCACCUGGCACAGAACCGUCACAUAUAGAACGGAGUGGAAACCCACGGAAUGCAGACCAGGAUUAUAUACUUUAGGUAUGAGUUUGUUACUUUUGCUCAUAAUAACAUGGAGUAUGUCACAGCUGCUCCACGGGCUGCAUUGAGGGGCAACAGGAGCGAAAAUGUUAAAAUGGAAAGGAGCUCCCCCUUUCAAUUAGGGAAUCUUAGGAUAUGCUAAGGCAAACAGAAGGAGGCAAGGAACGGGACUGCAUCAAUUGCUGUCUGGAACCAAUCUUGUGGGAUGACUUCUGGACAGGGAAAAACAAUUUCAUCAUCUACCCUAAUACUGACGAAUGUUCUAAAACGUGCUGUAAGGCAGACAUUUCCAAAUGUAACGGAGGAAAGUUUCGAGACAUGUAAUGGUUUCAACACGCUGCUGAGACCCAACUCAAGAGACGUCAGUUUGUACUGUUUAGUCCAUUCUCUAUUGGGCAUGCUUGUAUUGAGAGGUAUAUAUAUUGGAGUAUAGACAUGAUGUUUGGUAUGAGUAUUAUAUACAUCCUUUUGAGUCAAAUAGGACCGGUAGCCACUUUGAACUCCGUGUCCGAAAGGGUCAAAGUA